AAAAGUCUGGUAUGAUUAUAAAUACAACAUUAACAUGUUAAAACUUAUAACAUGUUGUAGGAAGUCCAGGUAAAGUUUUUGUCAGGCUACAUAUUUUGAAUUUCUUGAAGCUAAUCUAACAAAUAGCCCUUUUUGUAUUGCAUGGAGCAUGGGCUGUGGUGGUGUCACAGGGAUAGAGCACACUGGAGUAAGAAUGUUGGUUUAGUGUGACAAGUGCUCUCUUUCCUUCUGAGGAUCUCUGCUGGAUCAGCUGGAGGCAGCAGACUUGAGAGCAAUCACCUAUCUGCUGCAGCCUUCUUAAGGAGCUGUUGGAGGAUCAAUCAUUGCCUGAUAUUCAUGUUUGUUGGUUGAAGAAGUUCCUAGAUGCCUGGAUUACCACUGCUAUUUCAAGCUUAACGGUAUGCCUCUGAAAACACCUUGUCCACAGUCUCCACUGCAGCUCAUUAGGUCACAAUCUGCCUACCCGCUCUCCAGCUCUGUGACUCUACAAUACCAGCCUGGCCUCCCACUCCACUGUAUAACGAGAGACUCACCACCAAGAUCUCAUCACCUCCUACAGCUGCUCUUUUUGAUCCAAAACAAAGCUGCUGGACCUCCUGAGCUCUGAACAUGGUCCAUUCCCAUGUCUAUGGUCAAAAUGUCUACCACCUGCUUGUGAUUCUGCAUCAGGG